GGGUUGUGAGGUUAAGCGACUAAGCGUACACGGUGGAUGCCCUGGCAGUCAGAGGCGAUGAAGGACGUGCUAAUCUGCGAUAAGCGCCGGUAAGGUGAUAUGAACCGUUAUAACCGGCGAUUUCCGAAUGGGGAAACCCAGUGUGAUUCGUCACACUAUCAUUAACUGAAUCCAUAGGUUAAUGAGGCGAACCGGGGGAACUGAAACAUCUAAGUACCCCGAGGAAAAGAAAUCAACCGAGAUUCCCCCAGUAGCGGCGAGCGAACGGGGAGGAGCCCAGAGCCUGAAUCAGCAUGUGUGUUAGUGGAAGCGUCUGGAAAGGCGCGCGAUACAGGGUGACAGCCCCGUACACAAAAGCGCAUGUGCUGUGAGCUCGAUGAGUAGGGCGGGACACGUGGUAUCCUGUCUGAAUAUGGGGGGACCAUCCUCCAAGGCUAAAUACUCCUGACUGACCGAUAGUGAACCAGUACCGUGAGGGAAAGGCGAAAAGAACCCCGGCGAGGGGAGUGAAAAAGAACCUGAAACCGUGUACGUACAAGCAGUGGGAGCCCCACCACCAAAGCAUUCUCUGGUGUUGAAGGCCCUGCAAAGCAGCAUCGCGGUGGCGGAGCGUCGUUUGCGACGCCCAACACACAAAACAAGCGGUGAAUGCUUUGGGGUGGGGUGACUGCGUACCUUUUGUAUAAUGGGUCAGCGACUUAUAUUCUGUAGCAAGGUUAACCGAAUAGGGGAGCCGGAGGGAAACCGAGUCUUAAUUGGGCGUUAAGUUGCAGGGUAUAGACCCGAAACCCGGUGAUCUAGCCAUGGGCAGGUUGAAGGUUGGGUAACACUAACUGGAGGACCGAACCGACUAAUGUUGAAAAAUUAGCGGAUGACCUGUGGCUGGGGGUGAAAGGCCAAUCAAACCGGGAGAUAGCUGGUUCUCCCCGAAAGCUAUUUAGGUAGCGCCUCGUGAAUUCAUCUCCGGGGGUAGAGCACUGUUUCGGCUAGGGGGCCAUCCCGGCUUACCAACCCGAUGCAAACUGCGAAUACCGGAGAAUGUUAUCACGGGAGACACACGGCGGGUGCUAACGUCCGUCGUGAAGAGGGAAACAACCCAGACCGCCAGCUAAGGUCCCAAAGUCAUGGUUAAGUGGGAAACGAUGUGGGAAGGCCCAGACAGCCAGGAUGUUGGCUUAGAAGCAGCCAUCAUUUAAAGAAAGCGUAAUAGCUCACUGGUCGAGUCGGCCUGCGCGGAAGAUGUAACGGGGCUAAACCAUGCACCGAAGCUGCGGCAGCGACGCUGAUGCGUUGUUGGGUAGGGGAGCGUUCUGUAAGCCUGCGAAGGUGACCUGUGAGGGUUGCUGGAGGUAUCAGAAGUGCGAAUGCUGACAUAAGUAACGAUAAAGCGGGUGAAAAGCCCGCUCGCCGGAAGACCAAGGGUUCCUGUCCAACGUUAAUCGGGGCAGGGUGAGUCGACCCCUAAGGCGAGGCCGAAAGGCGUAGUCGAUGGGAAACGGGUUAAUAUUCCCGUACUUGGUGUUACUGCGAAGGGGGGACGGAGAAGGCUAUGUUGGCCGGGCGACGGUUGUCCCGGUUUAAGCGUGUAGGUGUGUGUUCCAGGUAAAUCCGGUUCACUUUAACACUGAGGCGUGAUGACGAGGCACUACGGUGCUGAAGCAACAAAUGCCCUGCUUCCAGGAAAAGCCUCUAAGCAUCAGGUAACAUCAAAUCGUACCCCAAACCGACACAGGUGGUCAGGUAGAGAAUACCAAGGCGCUUGAGAGAACUCGGGUGAAGGAACUAGGCAAAAUGGUGCCGUAACUUCGGGAGAAGGCACGCUGACACGUAGGUGAAGUGAUUUACUCACGGAGCUGAAGUCAGUCGAAGAUACCAGCUGGCUGCAACUGUUUAUUAAAAACACAGCACUGUGCAAACACGAAAGUGGACGUAUACGGUGUGACGCCUGCCCGGUGCCGGAAGGUUAAUUGAUGGGGUCAGCGCAAGCGAAGCUCCUGAUCGAAGCCCCGGUAAACGGCGGCCGUAACUAUAACGGUCCUAAGGUAGCGAAAUUCCUUGUCGGGUAAGUUCCGACCUGCACGAAUGGCGUAAUGAUGGCCAGGCUGUCUCCACCCGAGACUCAGUGAAAUUGAACUCGCUGUGAAGAUGCAGUGUACCCGCGGCAAGACGGAAAGACCCCGUGAACCUUUACUAUAGCUUGACACUGAACAUUGAGCCUUGAUGUGUAGGAUAGGUGGGAGGCUUUGAAGUGUGGACGCCAGUCUGCAUGGAGCCGACCUUGAAAUACCACCCUUUAAUGUUUGAUGUUCUAACGUGGACCCGUAAUCCGGGUUGCGGACAGUGUCUGGUGGGUAGUUUGACUGGGGCGGUCUCCUCCUAAAGAGUAACGGAGGAGCACGAAGGUUGGCUAAUCCUGGUCGGACAUCAGGAGGUUAGUGCAAUGGCAUAAGCCAGCUUGACUGCGAGCGUGACGGCGCGAGCAGGUGCGAAAGCAGGUCAUAGUGAUCCGGUGGUUCUGAAUGGAAGGGCCAUCGCUCAACGGAUAAAAGGUACUCCGGGGAUAACAGGCUGAUACCGCCCAAGAGUUCAUAUCGACGGCGGUGUUUGGCACCUCGAUGUCGGCUCAUCACAUCCUGGGGCUGAAGUAGGUCCCAAGGGUAUGGCUGUUCGCCAUUUAAAGUGGUACGCGAGCUGGGUUUAGAACGUCGUGAGACAGUUCGGUCCCUAUCUGCCGUGGGCGCUGGAGAACUGAGGGGGGCUGCUCCUAGUACGAGAGGACCGGAGUGGACGCAUCACUGGUGUUCGGGUUGUCAUGCCAAUGGCACUGCCCGGUAGCUAAAUGCGGAAGAGAUAAGUGCUGAAAGCAUCUAAGCACGAAACUUGCCCCGAGAUGAGUUCUCCCUGAGACUUUAGGUCUCCUGAAGGAACGUUGAAGACGACGACGUUGAUAGGCCGGGUGUGUAAGCGCAGCGAUGCGUUGAGCUAACCGGUACUAAUGAACCGUGAGGCUUAACCUUACAACGCCGAAG
rnacentral:rRNA from 1 species